UACGAAGGGGGCUAGCGUUGCUCGGAAUCACUGGGCGUAAAGCGCACGUAGGCGGAUUGUUAAGUCAGGGGUGAAAUCCUGGAGCUCAACUCCAGAACUGCCUUUGAUACUGAGGAUCUUGAGUUCGGGAGAGGUGAGUGGAACUGCGAGUGUAGAGGUGAAAUUCGUAGAUAUUCGCAAGAACACCAGUGGCGAAGGCGGCUCACUGGCCCGAUACUGACGCUGAGGCACGAAAGCGUGGGGGAGCAAACAGG
rnacentral:rRNA from 1 species